GGGAGCGCGCAGGCAGCAGGAACGAGCGCCGCUGGAGAGGAGAGUCAGCAAUGUCUGUGUCAGAGACACAGCAACUGGUGACCGAUGCAGAAGGAAACGUGUCGAGCCAAUUUGUCUUACUAAUUGGAGGACUGGCGGCGCUUUCAUUUCUCCAUGUGCAACUUUUUUUCUACUUUUCUCCUGUGGAAGACUCAUUAGGCGCCAGAAAAAAUAAGUUAAAACGGGUUGCGGGGGUUGCUGGAGGCUAUCUCAGCUGCAUUCGGGCGGAAGGCGGGGUACGCCCUGGACAAGUCGCCACCUCAUCACAGGGCCAACAGAUAGACAGACAACAUUCACACUCACAUUCACAGACUAGGGCCAAUUUUUUUUUUUAGUUUUGCCAAUCAACCUAUUCCCAGGUGCAUGUUUUUCAGAGUUGGGAGGAAGCCGGAGUACCCGGAGGGAAUCCACACAGUCAUGCACAUGCGCAGUCCGCAUUUCCCUCUUCUGCAGGAGCCUUCAGUGGCUCCACUGUGAGCACUUCUGGACACGCCCACACACACGCUGCGCGGACCGCGCCCACACGCUGCUGCAGCCGGCGGCAAUCUUCAAUCAGCACAACUGAUGGAGAUAACAGACAACAGGAUAAAGAGCCUCGCCGCUGACUAAUCGACGUCGGAACGUCACCAUGUUCGCAUCUCGCGCUUAAGUGUUAACUUACUUUUCCCCUGGACCCGGAUUGCCCUCCUGAUAUUGACACUUUGCUUGGACCUUGUAUGCUCUCUCCUGCCCCACAAACCCUUUUGGACAUCGGACUUCCCUGCCUCUGUCCUCUGGAUUUGGACCCCAGUAAUGUUAGGGUCUAGCCAUAGCCGUAGCCAUUUUGAACAAUUUCCCUUGUGGCUCAUUCACGUUUGUUUAUGAUUGUAGGGAGGUCAUCCAUCAAUCCAGCUAUCUUUUUCUACGUGUUAUUCUUUUAUGGUCAACUUCUGGAGCUCGGAAACAAUUUGAACCAAUAAUUUGAUUUUUUUCACCCAUUUAGCAGCAAAAUUGGUGAAAAGAGCCUGUGAAAUAUCCAACUGUGUUCACCUCCAUCUACUAGACUAGUGGUUCUCAACCUUUUUUCAGUGAUGUACCCCCUGUGAACAUUUUUUUAAUUAGAGUACCCCCUAAUCAGAGCAAAGCAUUUUUGGUUGAAAAAACGAGAUAAAAAAAUAAAAUACAGCACUAUGUCAUCAGUUUCUGAUUUAUUAAAUUGUAUAAUAGUACAAAAUAUUGCUCAUUUGUAGUGGUCUUUCUUGAACUUUUUGGAAAAAAAGAUAUAAAAACAACUAAAAACUUGUUGAAAAAUAAACAAGUGAUUUAUCCAUCCAUCCAUUUUCUACCUCUUAUUCCCUUUUGGGGUCGCGGGGGGCGCUGGCGCCUAUCUCAGCUACAAUCGGGCGGAAGGCGGCGUACACCCUGGACAAGUCGCCACCUCAUCGCAGGGCCAACACAGAUAGACAGACAACAUUCACACUCAUAAAUAAAGAUUUCUACACAUUGAAGUAAUCAUUAACUUAAAGUGCCCUCUUUGGGGAUUGUAAUAGAGAUCCAUCUGGAUUCAUGAACUUCAUUCUAAACAUUUCUUCUCAAAAAAAUAAAUCUUUAACAUCAAUAUUUAUGGAACAUGUCCACAAAAAAAUUGUCUGUCAACACUGAAUAUUGCAUUGUUGUAUUUUUUUCACCGUUUAUGAACUUAUAUUCAUAUUUUGUUGAAGCAUUAUUCAAUAGAUAUAUUUACAAAUAAUUUUUGCUAUUUUUAGAAUAUUUAAAAAAAAUCUCACAUACCCCUUGGCAUACCUUCAAGUACCUCCAGGGGUACGUGAACCCCAAUUUGAUAACCACUGUACUAGACAUCCAGUUGCGGGCCGUGUGUUUCCCACCUAGGCCUUCAGUGAUUUCCAACUUUAAUUAUUAACUUUCCAUCCAUCCAUUAUCUACAACUUUUCCCUUUCGGGGUCAGUACCAUAAUUGAUGUCACCGAAUGAUUAUUGCUGGAGAAAUACGUUACAGGAACACAUUUACACCCUACUGUCAAUUGAAUCACAUCAACAGUGUACGAAACUUGUUUUUUUUGGCAAAUUUAAAAAUCAAUUAAAACGUAUCAGCAAUUUAAACACAGACCGUAAAUUUAUCUGCUUGGCUUAUGGAACUUCCGGUCAAUGAAGUUUGUUUCAAAGUACACACUAUUAACUGCCCUGACCACAUGAUUGCGUCAAAUACACAUGUAACAAUGUUAAUUAAUUGACAAGCAUGACACACUUUUACAACAACAGUGUACAACUUUUAAAUGGUAAAUGGGUUGUACCGGUAUAGCGUUUUCUACCUUUUUAAGGAACUCAAAGCCCUUUGACACAAUUUCCACAUUCACCCAUUCACACACACAUUCACACACUGAUGGCGGGAGCUGCCAUGCAAGACGCUAAUUAGGACCCAUCAGGAGCAAGGGUGAAGUGUCUUACUCAAGGACACAACGGACGGAACUUGGAUGGUAAAAGGUGAGGAUUGAACCAGUAACCCUCAGAUUGCUGGCACGACCACUCCCAACUGCGCCACGCCGUCCCCAUUUUAAUCAAUCAAUCAAUCAAUCAAUCAAUGUUUACUUAUAUAGCCCUAAAUCAAUAGUGUCUCAAAGGGCUGCACAAACCACAACACAAACCACUACGACAUCUUCGGUUGGCCCACAUAAGGGCAAGAAAAACUCACACCCAGUGGGACGUCGUUUAGUUGUAACAUUUUAGUUGUAACAGAACAUCUACUGUCAACAAAUUGCGAUCUGAUUGGCUAUCACAACUGUGUCUUAAAUCUAUGUGUUCUCAAAUUCAUCCGCUAACGGUCCCGAAGAGUAUCCAAUCACAUGACGCGUGAACGUCACGUUCAACUAGAAAGCCUUACUGAAAUCAACUCGUGAUCUGAUUGGCUAUGGCAACUGUCCAUCACCUGUAAGUCCCCGUUCACUUACAGUGCACGGACGCAAGCAUUGAUGAUUCUGAGGGCGUUGGGCAGAUUUUGUACAGUAUGGGAUACAAACUGAAACUAAAAACAACAGCACUGAAACGUGCAUAAUAUGACAUGAAGAGAAAAUUAAUACAAUUUAGAUAUUUAGGGAAAGUAAAUAAAAUAUUACUUUGAUCUUUAAUUAGACCGGGGUGGUGGUUCCUCUCUUUAAGAAGGGGGACCGGAGGGUGUGUUCCAACUAUCGUGGGAUCACACUCCUCAGCCUUCCCGGUAAGGUUUAUUCAGCUGUACUGGAGAGGAGGCUACGUCGGAUAGUCGAACCUCGGAUUCAGGAGGAACAGUGUGGUUUUCGUCCUGGUCGUGGAACUGUGGACCAGCUCUAUACUCUCGGCAGGGUUCUC